GGGGGUGUAGCAUAUAUGGUAGAGUGUUUGCUUUGCAUGCGAGAGAUAUGGGUUUCAAUUUCCUGCACCUCUA
rnacentral:tRNA from 1 species